GACGAACGCUGGCGGCGUGCUUAACACAUGCAAGUCGAGCGGUAAGGCCUUUCGUGGUACACGAGCGGUGAACGGGUGAGUAACACGUGGGCGAUCUGCCCUGCACUUUGGCAUAAGCCUGGGAAACUGGGUCUAAUACUGGAUAUGACCUCCUAUCGUAUGGUGGGGGGUGGAAAGAUUUAUCGGUGCGGGAUGGGCCCGCGGCCUAUCAGCUUGUUGGUGGGGUAUUGGCCUACCAAGGCGACGACGGGUAGCCGACCUGAGAGGGUGACCGGCCACACUGGGACUGAGACACGGCCCAGACUCCUACGGGAGGCAGCAGUGGGGAAUAUUGCACAAUGGGCGAAAGCCUGAUGCAGCGACGCCGCGUGAGGGAUGACGGCCUUCGGGUUGUAAACCUCUUUCAGCAGGGAAGAAGCGAGAGUGACGGUACCUGCAGAAGAAGCGCCGGCUAACUACGUG
rnacentral:rRNA from 1 species